UCGUAACAAGGUUUCCGUAGGUGAACCUGCGGAAGGAUCAUUACCGAGUGCGGGCUGCCUCCGGGCGCCCAACCUCCCACCCGUGACUACCUAACACUGUUGCUUCGGCGGGGAGCCCCCUAGGGGCGAGCCGCCGGGGACCACUGAACUUCAUGCCUGAGAGUGAUGCAGUCUGAGCCUGAAUACAAAUCAGUCAAAACUUUCAACAAUGGAUCUCUUGGUUCCGGCAUCGAUGAAGAACGCAGCGAACUGCGAUAAGUAAUGUGAAUUGCAGAAUUCAGUGAAUCAUCGAGUCUUUGAACGCACAUUGCGCCCCCUGGCAUUCCGGGGGGCAUGCCUGUCCGAGCGUCAUUGCUGCCCUCAAGCCCGGCUUGUGUGUUGGGUCGUCGUCCCCCCCGGGGGACGGGCCCGAAAGGCAGCGGCGGCACCGUGUCCGGUCCUCGAGCGUAUGGGGCUUUGUCACCCGCUCGAUUAGGGCCGGCCGGGCGCCAGCCGGCGUCUCCAACCUUAUUUUUCUCAGGUUGACCUCGGAUCAGGUAGGGAUACCCGCUGAACCUAAGCAUAUCA
rnacentral:misc_RNA from 2 species